GCUGGGCAUGGUGGCACAUGCCUGUAAUCCCAGCGACUAGGAGGUUGAGGCAGGAGAAUCAUAAGUUCGAGGCCAUCCUCAGCAAUAUAGUGAGGUCUUAAGCAAUUUAGCGAGACCCUGUCUCAA
rnacentral:sRNA from 1 species